UGUUGUACAAAAUGGAAAUGAGACUGAUAAGCCUCACUGAAACUUCUGGUGGUGCUGUAACACACAGAGACAGGCUGGGGCGCAUGCGGAGCAGUGAAUAGAGCAGUGUGGUGCCGUCAUGGUGAAAUAUGCUGGUGGAAUCCCCAGUGAGAUGGCCUCAGGGGCUCCCAGGCAAAGCUAAUGAAUGGAUCUUCUAUGACGCCACCAUCGGUUAAAGAGUCCCAGUGGUGAUCAUCGUGCCAGAACUCCAUAUCCCCCUUCGCGAGCUCACCUUUUCUUUCUGUCCCCGUGGUAAACUCACUCAACUCAACCACCUACAAAAUAUGAAUAGUAGUAAUAUAUUUUAUUUAUAUAGCACCUUUCUUAAAUCCAAGGAAGCGUUACAAAGUAGAGGAUAAAACGGCAAGAUUCAACAGAAAACUACAAUACUACAAGAAUCACCUGAACAGUCCGUCCAUAGUGAAACUGGUGCAAUUAUCAAUGAACAUCAAUUGGUAAGCCCAAUUUCUGAAAAGUGCACAAAUUCACCUCCACAUAAAUGUCUAUAUCGUGACAGUUUAAAUUCUGUUGCCUAUUCAUUGUGACUUGCCUUGGAUGAGUUUAAAUCAUUUAUUUAAAUUUUUUUGUCGCAAAAUGUCUAUGUUUAUGUCUAUGCUUUGUUUAAUGAAAUAAUUUCUGCAUAUUGCUUCAGUUGCUAAGCUUAUUUUAAUUUUUACCGGUUUAUCCAGCUUUUCUGUAGUAUAUCUUUUCUAUAUUCCGCUAUCCACCUCUCCUCUGGUUCCAUUGAUGUGAGUUCUGUCAGUUCAGGCCGAUUGUAGUCCACACUCAUGCAAUUUCUGGCUAUCUAUUUCUAGGGUGUGGCAUAACGUAUUCUAUGCAUUUGCCAGAUAUCCAUGUACCUGCCCAUUCCCAUUCAUAAAUAUCAUAAUUAAAAGCAUCAGAUAAAGGUCACUUGAGUACCUCUUUUACACGGACAUGUAAUCUAUAAUUUCAGAAUCCAGGGCAUACAGAUAGAAUGUCUUUGCUUAAACUUCCCCGAAUCUGAUCCUCGACAGGGUGCUUUCCAGGGUGAAGACUUACUUCAUCAUUGAUUUUACACAAGACUGCCACCUGCUGGCUGCAAGGAGAAGCUCUCUUCACCUCUUUCUUGGCAAGCAGGCAUAUAAUCAGUGACUACUUUAUUAGGCAUUAGAUUUUGAUUUAUUGGUCUGCUGCUGCCUAUCCACUUCAAGGUUCAACGGGUCAUGUGUUCAGAGAUGCUCUUCUGCAUACCACUAUUGUAACACGUGGUUAUUUGAGUUACUGUUGGCUACCCGUCAGCUUGAACCAGUCUGUUAAGGUACAUGACUGGGACCCGCAAGUUCGGUGGUUCGAUCCCCGGUGUAGCCACAAUAAGAUUCACACAGCUGUUGGGCCCUUAACCCUGUAUUGCUCCAGGGGACGAUUGUCUCCUGCUUAGUCUGAUCAACUGUAAGUCGAUUUGCAUAAAAGCAUCAGCCAAAUGACAUGUAAUGUAAUGUCUCCCAUUCUCCUCUGUCCUCUCUCAUUAUAAACAAGGCAUUUUUGCCAACAGAA